rnacentral:lncRNA from 1 species
AUUUGCGUGACCAUGGAUUAUUUCGUCUAAAUACUGCUGUCAUCAAGCCACAACCAGGUUUCCUCUCAGGUGAAUUGCCUCCCAUUCUUUUUUUUUUCCAGUUCUAUUGAUUUGCUAUAUGUUAUGGAAGAUCACUUUCUUCCUAAGCUAUUCAAGAGAAAAUUGGUUGCUAAAUGAAAACAUGUCCUAGCAAAUAAGAAAUAUAGAGAAAAUGAAUUGUUUUACUAUUAGAAUUUAAUCCAGGAGAUAAUCAACAAAGCCUCCUCCUGGAGAGGCUGCCCCUAGAAUGUUUUUUUUUUUUUGUAUUUCUAUCUCGAUUGAAGGAAUGAUCGAGAGAGGAAAUUAUUGGGGAGAGGGAAGGAAUAAUAAUGGGUAAUUUCACUGUUUUAUUGUAACAUAAACAUUGGAAUAGCAAGCUUUCAAUUUUUUUUGUCUCUAAACUUUCUUUCUUUUACUUUUAUUUGAUUUUUUUUUUAAUUUUAUUUUGUCAAUUGUUUUUUUGGUUCUUUGUUUGACAGAGAAAAUAAAACCACCAAACUCGGUCGUAGGCUUAACGAGGAUCUCUACAAUUUUAGAAAUGACAAUGCUUCAUUUAGAAAACAACACCACAGGAAGAAAAAAAAGAAGCAUUUGAGCCUUACACGUUUCCAGCUUCUACAUGUCAAACAUUAUGACAACCACAAAAUAAAUAAGGG